AAUUGUAUUGAGUUUUCACCUAGCUAUGAUAGCCUGAUUUCUUUAAAAGAUUCAUAUUUUUCUUUUUAAAUGUGAUUAAGAAAUAUGUGGGAUAUAAAUCAUGCUGAUGCUUCUGUAGCUCAGCACAGCAAUUUAUUAGUACUUAAGAAUGUUCUGGGGUGCUUUGCUUUAUUCAUUCAGUCAACAAAUACUUAAUGAAACACUCAUUUCAGUGCCGGGUACUGAUGUAGUCACUAGGGAUACAGUGGUGAACAAAAGACAAAGAGAUCCUAAUGGGAAAAUAAAAGUAAACAAAGAGAUGGUCUGCUGUUUCAUAGUAAUAUAUAUUACGAAGAAAAAUAAACCUGGAUAAGGGCGAGAUUAAUGGGGAAUGCUCUCCUAGAAAAGGGGGUCAGAGAAAGAAUCUCUGAGGAAGUGAUGUUUAGGUAAGGAUCUGGAUGAAGUAAGAUGCAGCCAGAACAAAGGCCCUGAGGUGGGAGUGUACUCGAUGCAUUCAAGAAACAGCAAGAAGGGGUGUGUGUGUGUGUGUGUGUGUGUGUGUGUGUGUGUGUGUGUGUGUGUCUGUGUGUGUAUAGAAAUAUAUCUUGUAUACUUGUAUAUAUUACAGAUGUAUAAAGUGUAAAUCUUUAAUGUGAGAGGUUUUUGUAUGUGUUCUUGAACUCAUUAUCUUACUAACAAAGCUUUUGCUUUAAUAUUGAAUUUUAAUAUUCUAGUCCUCUGUAGAACUCAGAAUCACUGACUUUCUAGACUUAAUGUUUAGAUCAUUAAGAACCUCAUUUUUCUACCUUAAAAAGAUGGGAUUCCUGCUUAUGGAGACAAAUUACAUGGCUUUAUUUACAAUAGCACAGUUACUUAUUCUUAAGAAAAAUAUUAUCUCUGGAAUGUCACUGAAGUAUGUAGUCAUUUAUAGUCCUAUUCCCAACUUCUUUGGGCAUUCAUUUUUUUUCCCACCAAAAUAAAGUAGAACCACUAGAUUCAAUAGGCAAAGUGAACAUUAUAUGUAGUCAUAACCACCUCUCAUAAUCUCAUACAUCUAUAAAUUACAGUGCAUACUAAAAUUUAGGGUGAGGUUCUAAUCACUUGAAGUCAAAAUAACUUGGCUACAACAUAGCCAAACAACUUUCAAUUUACAAUUCUAUACAGUUAAUUGUGCACGUUUAAUUUUUUUAUCAUUUUUCCAUUUUCUUUUCUGUUUUUCAAGUCUACAAUUUAGUGGUUUCAGUGUUGUGCAAGCUUCACUGCAAUCAAUUUUUAUACAGCUUUGUCACCCCAAAGACAAACCCUAACUGCUUGAAUUUGGUUCUCCUCUUUCCAGACUAUAUGGGCUAUUCUGGGUCCCUUGAAUUUUCUUAUGAAUUUUAGGAUCAUUUUGUCAAUUUCUCCAAAGAAGCCAGCUGGGAUUUUCAUAAACAAUGCAUUGAAUCUAUAGAUUUAUCUAGAGUGUUGCCAUCCUGACUUUAUAUAUUAAGUCUUUCAAUCUAUGCAUUUAGGAUAUCUUUCUAUGGAUUGGGUCUUUUAAAGUUUCAACAGUGAUUUGUAGUUUUCAGAGUAGUAUAAGUUUUGCCCUUUUGUUUUAUUCAUUCCUAAGUAUUUCAUUCUUUUGGAUGCUAUUGUAAAUAGACUUUUUUCUUAAUUUUAUUUUUAGUUUGUUCAUUGCUAAUACGUAGACAUACAAUUGAUUUUUCUAUUUACAUUCAAUUUUGAGACUUACUGAGCUAAAGAAAAGCAAAUGAAAGUUAUGUAUAGCCAUACUUUGACAUUCAAACCAUUCAACUUUUGAGGUAACUACAUCUGGAUUAAAUUUAAUUCAAAGAUCUCGGUUAUAAACAUCUCUACCACCACCUCUUCUGUAAUCUGAGUAAACUUGGCUAUCGGGGAUCUUUCUAGCCGCCUACCUCCAGUUUGUUGCCCAGUAGAUUACUAUAUAAUUUUUUUUCUUAAUUUUAGGCAUCCAAUACAUUAAUGAAUUAUGUCACCUUUUCAUAUGGGAAUAUGAGAACAGAUAUACUUCUUUUCCAGUCAAAGAAAGAUUUAUAUUCUAUGAAGAA